rnacentral:rRNA from 1 species
CCUACGGGAGGCAGCAGUGGGGAAUCUUAGACAAUGGGGGCAACCCUGAUCUAGCCAUGCCGCGUGAGUGAUGAAGGCCUUAGGGUCGUAAAGCUCUUUCGCCUGUGAUGAUAAUGACAGUAGCAGGUAAAGAAACCCCGGCUAACUCCGUGCCAGCAGCCGCGGUAAUACGGAGGGGGUUAGCGUUGUUCGGAAUUACAGGGCGUAAAGCGCGCGUAGGCGGAUUAGAAAGUUGGGGGUGAAAUCCCGGGGCUCAACCCCGGAACUGCCUCCAAAACUGCUAGUCUAGAGUUCGAGAGAGGUGAGUGGAAUUCCGAGUGUAGAGGUGAAAUUCGUAGAUAUUCGGAGGAACACCAGUGGCGAAGGCGGCUCACUGGCUCGAUACUGACGCUGAGGUGCGAAAGUGUGGGGAGCAAACAGGAUUAGAUACCCUGGUAGUCCACACCGUAAACGAUGAAUGCCAGUCGUCGGAUAGUAUACUAUUCGGUGACACACCUAACGGAUUAAGCAUUCCGCCUGGGGAGUACGGUCGCAAGAUUAAAACUCAAAGGAAUUGACGG